rnacentral:rRNA from 1 species
CCUACGGGUGGCAGCAGUGGGGAAUCUUGCACAAUGGGCGAAAGCCUGAUGCAGCAACGCCGCGUGAGCGAUGAAGGCCUUCGGGUCGUAAAGCUCUGUCCUCAAGGAAGAUAAUGACGGUACUUGAGGAGGAAGCCCCGGCUAACUACGUGCCAGCAGCCGCGGUAAUACGUAGGGGGCUAGCGUUAUCCGGAAUUACUGGGCGUAAUGGGUGCGUAGGUGGUUUCUUAAGUCAGAGGUAAAAUCGCGGGGCUCAACCCCGCUCCGCCGUUGAAACUGGGUCCCUUGAGUGCGCGAAGGGUAGGCGGAAUGCGUGGUGUAGCGGUGAAAUGCAUAGAUAUCGCGCAGAACUCCGAUCGCGAAGGCAGCCUACCGGCGCGCAACUGACGCGCAGGCACGAAAGCGUGGGUAUCGAACAGGAUUAGAUACCCGAGUAGUC